rnacentral:rRNA from 1 species
GUCCACGCCGUAAACGAUGUCAACUAGCCGUUGGGAGCCUUGAGCUCUUAGUGGCGCAGCUAACGCAUUAAGUUGACCGCCUGGGGAGUACGGCCGCAAGGUUAAAACUCAAAUGAAUUGACGGGGGCCCGCACAAGCGGUGGAGCAUGUGGUUUAAUUCGAAGCAACGCGAAGAACCUUACCAGGCCUUGACAUCCAAUGAACUUUCUAGAGAUAGAUUGGUGCCUUCGGGAACAUUGAGACAGGUGCUGCAUGGCU